UACGUAGGGCGCAAGCGUUAUCCGGAAUUAUUGGGCGUAAAGAGCUCGUAGGCGGUUUGUCGCGUCUGCCGUGAAAGUCCGGGGCUCAACUCCGGAUCUGCGGUGGGUACGGGCAGACUAGAGUGAUGUAGGGGAGACUGGAAUUCCUGGUGUAGCGGUGAAAUGCGCAGAUAUCAGGAGGAACACCGGUGGCGAAGGCGGAUCUCUGGGCCUGUCCUGACGCUCAGGCGCGAAAGCUAGGGGAGCAAACAGG
rnacentral:rRNA from 1 species